rnacentral:tRNA from 1 species
GGAGAGGUGGCCCCAGAGGCUCAAAGCACUCCCCUGCUAAGGGAGAACGGCAUAACAACCGUCGAGGGUUCAAAUCCCUCCCUCUCCG